rnacentral:rRNA from 1 species
CUUGGUAGUUUACAUGGAAGUAGUCGCAGAACUCCCUAACCUUUGGGAACAAACCACUGUUGCUUCGGCGGGAUCGUCCCGGGCGCGCCUCUGGGCGUGUCCCGGAUCCAAGGCGCCCGCCGAGGGUAUCAAGCUCUUGUCUUUAUAGCGGACUUCUGAGUAUAAAACAAAAAUAAAUUAAAACUUUCAGCAACGGAUCUCUUGGCUCUGGCAUCGAUGAAGAACGCAGCGAAAUGCGAUAAGUAAUGUGAAUUGCAGAAUUCAGUGAAUCAUCGAAUCUUUGAACGCACAUUGCGCCCACCAGUAUUCUGGUGGGCAUGCCUGUCCGAGCGUCAUUUCAACCCUCAGGCCCGGCCUGGUGUUAGGGAUUGGCUUCGCAGCCAGCCCCGAAAUGCAGUGGCGGCCCUCCGCAACUCCUCUGUGUAGUAGUGAUACCCGCAUUGGAUAGUGGUUGCGCCUCGCCGUAAAACCUCCAACUCUUCAAGGUUGACCUCGGAUCAGGUAGGAAUACCCGCUGAACUUAAGCAUAUCAAUAAGCCGGAGGAA